GAUGGGGGAACGAAGGCUUAAUGCAUCACGUCCUGUGAUAACGCCUUCGUGACCAAUAUCCUGCUGA
rnacentral:sRNA from 1 species